AAUGACUCUUUUUGCUCACUAGUUUGAUAUUGCUCUUGAAGCUUUUAUUAGAAAAGAAAAUUGAUCGAUCUUGAUUAGUUCAUGUGCCGUGUGUGUUAGUGUUUGUUCAAAUAAAUCUUGUUUUUACAUCUAUCAUCUAGAACUUGCCUGGUUGGUUUUUCAUGCUAAUGACACUUUGAUUGGUUGGAGGAAUGAUCUUAGGUAUUCUUUGCUUUGAUUUGUAAAACCUCUUUAGCCUUUCAAGCCUCCCUUUCUGUAAAUAAUAUCACUAGUACCCAAUUUGAGCCUUAAAACAUUUUCUUUGGCCAACUCAUUACAAACCUUUUUUUUCUUUGAUUUGUAAAACUUUCUCUAGCCUUUCAAGCCUACCCAUGUGAAAAUAAUAUCACGUGCCCAAUUUGAGCCUUUAAACCUUCUCUUUGGCCAACUCAUUACAAAACUUUCC
rnacentral:lncRNA from 1 species